rnacentral:rRNA from 1 species
GAUGAACGCUGGCGGCGUGCCUAAUACAUGCAAGUCGAGCGAACGGACGAGAAGCUUGCUUCUCUGAUGUUAGCGGCGGACGGGUGAGUAACACGUGGGUAACCUACCUAUAAGACUGGGAUAACUUCGGGAAACCGGAGCUAAUACCGGAUAAUAUUUUGAACCGCAUGGUUCAAAAGUGAAAGACGGUCUUGCUGUCACUUAUAGAUGGAUCCGCGCUGCAUUAGCUAGUUGGUAAGGUAACGGCUUACCAAGGCAACGAUGCAUAGCCGACCUGAGACGGUGAUCGGCCACACUGGAACUGAGACACGGUCCAGACUCCUACGGGAGGCAGCAGUAGGGAAUCUUCCGCAAUGGGCGAAAGCCUGACGGAGCAACGCCGCGUGAGUGAUGAAGGUCUUCGGAUCGUAAAACUCUGUUAUUAGGGAAGAACAUAUGUGUAAGUAACUGUGCACAUCUUGACGGUACCUAAUCAGAAAGCCACGGCUAACUACGUG